rnacentral:rRNA from 1 species
AUUGAACGCUGGCGGCAGGCUUAACACAUGCAAGUCGAGGGGCAGCAUGGCUUUGGUUUACUAAAGCUGAUGGCGACCGGCGCACGGGUGAGUACCGCGUAUGCAACUUACCUGUCAGUAGGGCAUAACCCGGCGAAAGUCGGACUAAUUCCCUAUAAUACAAUUUUACCGCCUGGUUUAAUUGUUAAAGAUUUAUUGCUGACAGAUGGGCAUGCGUUCCAUUAGGUUGUUGGUGAGGUAACUGCUCACCAAGCCUUCGAUGGAUCGGGGAACUGAGAGGUUGGGCCCCCACACUGGACCUGGGACACGGGCCAGACUCCGUCGGUGGGCAGCAGUGACGAAUCUUGGGCAAUGGGGGAAUGCCUUAACCAGCCAAGUCGCGUGAAAGAUUGAGGAUCUAUGGUACGUAAACUUCUUUUAUUGGGGAAUAAUGUGCGGGACGUGUCCUGUAUUGUCUGUACCCACUGAAUAAGGAUCGGCUAACUCCGUGCCAGCCGCCGCGGUAA